CAUCUCAUGACGAUACAACUGAAAGUUUUGCAUUUGCUUUAGUUAAUAGUGCACUUGGAGUAUUUGAGGUUCAUGGACGGAGAAUCCGCGACUUCGGACCUAAGUGGCCUUCAUCUUCCUUUGUUUCGUCCGAUGGGUUGAUCACAGCGAUGGCUUACCGCUUGCCUCAUGUUGUUAUGGGGGAUAGGUCGGGGAAUAUCAGAUGGUGGAUAUAACUACUGGACAUUCCUCCUCGUUCAACA